rnacentral:rRNA from 1 species
GGGUUGUGAGGUUAAGCGACUAAGCGUACACGGUGGAUGCCCUGGCAGUCAGAGGCGAUGAAGGACGUGCUAAUCUGCGAAAAGCGUCGGUAAGGUGAUAUGAACCGUUAUAACCGGCGAUGUCCGAAUGGGGAAACCCAGUGCAAUUCGUUGCACUAUCGUUAACUGAAUACAUAGGUUAACGAGGCGAACCGGGGGAACUGAAACAUCUAAGUACCCCGA